GAUGAACGCUGGCGGCGUGCCUAAUACAUGCAAGUCGAGCGAACAGAUAAGGAGCUUGCUCCUUUGACGUUAGCGGCGGACGGGUGAGUAACACGUGGGUAACCUACCUAUAAGACUGGAAUAACUCCGGGAAACCGGGGCUAAUGCCGGAUAACAUUUAGAACCGCAUGGUUCUAAAGUGAAAGAUGGUUUUGCUAUCACUUAUAGAUGGACCCGCGCCGUAUUAGCUAGUUGGUAAGGUAACGGCUUACCAAGGCAACGAUACGUAGCCGACCUGAGAGGGGGGUGGGCCCGCCUGGAACUGAGACGCGGUCCAGACCCCGAGGGGGGGCAGCAGGUGGGAACUUGCCGGAAUGGGGGAAAGCCUGAGGGAGCAAGGCCGGUGGGGUGAAGAAGUUUUCCGGUUCGUAAAACCCUUUUUUUAGGGAAAAAAAAAUGUGAAAGUACCUGUGCCCGUCUUGGGGGUCCCUAAUCAGAAAACCCCGGCAAACUCAGG
rnacentral:rRNA from 1 species